rnacentral:rRNA from 1 species
CGUACUUGUACUGAUUGAGAUUUUAACACGAAGUGAGUGGCGAACGGGUGAGUAACACGUGGGUAACCUGCCCAGAAGUAGGGGAUAACACCUGGAAACAGAUGCUAAUACCGUAUAACAGAGAAAACCGCAUGGUUUUCUUUUAAAAGAUGGCUCUGCUAUCACUUCUGGAUGGACCCGCGGCGUAUUAGCUAGUUGGUGAGGUAAAGGCUCACCAAGGCAGUGAUACGUAGCCGACCUGAGAGGGUAAUCGGCCACAUUGGGACUGAGACACGGCCCAGACUCCUACGGGAGGCAGCAGUAGGGAAUCUUCCACAAUGGACGCAAGUCUGAUGGAGCAACGCCGCGUGAGUGAAGAAGGGUUUCGGCUCGUAAAGCUCUGUUGUUAAAGAAGAACGUGGGUAAGAGUAACUGUUUACCCAGUGACGGUAUUUAACCAGAAAGCCACGGCUAACUACGUGCCAGCAGCCGCGGUAAUACGUAGGUGGCAAGCGUUAUCCGGAUUUAUUGGGCGUAAAGCGAGCGCAGGCGGUCUUUUAAGUCUAAUGUGAAAGCCUUCGGCUCAACCGAAGAAGUGCAUUGGAAACUGGGAGACUUGAGUGCAGAAGAGGACAGUGGAACUCCAUGUGUAGCGGUGAAAUGCGUAGAUAUAUGGAAGAACACCAGUGGCGAAGGCGGCUGUCUGGUCUGCAACUGACGCUAAGGCUCGAAAGCAUGGGUAGCGAACAGGAUUAGAUACCCUGGUAGUCCAUGCCGUAAACGAUGAUUACUAAGUGUUGGAAGGGUUUCCGCCCCUUCAGUGCUGCAGCUUAACGCAUUAAGUAAUCCGCCUGGGGGAAUACCAACCCCCAGGGUUGAAACUCCAAAAAAAUUUAACGGGGGCCCCCACAAACCGGUGGAACCAUGUGGGUUUUAAUUUCAAACCUUCCCCGAAGAAACCU